AUCAAGCAAUAAGUCAUUCAGGUUCGUGUUGUACUUCUCAUUCGUUUCUCUUAAUUUAGGGCCUCAGAUGAAUAUGAGCAGAUAUUAUAGAUGACAAAAGUAAACUAACCAAAUAAAAAUUAGAGUGAACGAACAUAAAAGUUAUAUUCUACAUUAAUCAGAAUAUCAUGCUUGAUUAUAUAUAUGUUUUUUGGAUGGUGACUGAAAUAUGACCACAAAUGAGUGUGUGGAAUCAGUAACUAGCUUCAAUUAGUCUGCUUUUUUGGGAUUAUUUUUCUUUUCGAUUGUGGAUUUUUUAUCGUUAUUGUUCAAUUUAUUGGAAGUCAGAAAAACUCAUGUCUUGCUUUUGCAAGAUAUAAUGAGUUUGAUUAGUAGUGAUUAACUUUGAUUUUGAUGCUAUCAGUAUGUUGGUUCUUUUAUGAUUGCAUGUAUUUCCCCUUAUGGUCUUUCAUUCAUGUUUUAUGGUUCUCCAUCAUGUGUUUUUGUAUCAACUUUAGAGUGUAGACUCUAAACACGAUAGCACCUCAAUCCAGUAAGAUUGGGUAUUAAAUAUAAUUGUGAGAAGACAUUUAUUGGAUGAGUUCUUUGAAGUUAUAAAUCUAUAGCCUUCAAUUCUGAAAUAAGUGGAAAAUGAAUUUAAGGAUAGCAGUAGAUUAUUUAGUACAUUUGAUACAUAUUAAUUAUAUGCAUUCAGAAUCCAAGAUAACUGAAGAAGUGGAACCAUACUAUGGUCGCAUCUUUCUAACUUACGUCAUUUUUAUGUAGCUUCUUCCUUGAUUGGUUUAGUAGUUUUGUUUGUUUAUUUGGGAGUUCGUGUUUGGUUGCUGAAGAUUUGAUGGAUUUUUGCGUUCGUUUUUGGUUUGGUGGCAAUCAUUGUUGAAUGGAUAUGGGGAACACAUAGAUGGUGACUAUGAUUCCCUCACAGCACUGAUAUUGUGGAAGCUGGUGUAAGUUAGUAUGGAAUGUUGUUUUGUUGUGUCGAAUUUGUUCGUAUGGGUAUGAAGUUUCCUGUUUGAUUAUAUUUUAGAUUAGCCGAAUGACAACUGAGACCGGGCAAAUUGGCUCGUCGAAAAGCGGGGGAACGGUUUUUGUGAAUGAGAACAAUAGCCAAAUUGGUAAUAUGACAUCACUAAUAAUGCCAGCAGCUACCUUGGGAGCAGUGGGUUAUGGUUACAUGAGGUGGAAGGUGUGCAGAUUAUGUUCUUUGUAAGUAAUUUAUAGUUCAGUUCAAAGAAAAAGCUACUUACACUCAAUAGGAAAUUGAUGCAUUAAGAAUAGAGUGGGCUGAGUAUGUUGAUGACUUCAUCCUAAUAGAUAAAACACUAGACUAGCUAGCUUGUGAAAUUUUAAAUUAAGUGGUUUUAUUUUAGUAGGAAAUCUCUACACAUUUUAUUAAAUGUGUUGAUUGUGAGAUUGUUUUUUUGUAAUACUUGGAUUUACAAAUUUAUGAAGCAAUACUAGUUUAUUUAAGGUAAAUAUCUUGC